rnacentral:rRNA from 1 species
CCUACGGGCGACAGCAGUGAGGAAUAUUGGUCAAUGGACGCAAGUCUGAACCAGCCAUGUCGCGUGCAGGAAGAUGGCUUUAUGAGUUGUAAACUGCUUUUGUACGAGGGUAAACGCAGAUACGCGUAUCUGUCUGAAAGUAUCGUACGAAUAAGGAUCGGCUAACUCCGUGCCAGCAGCCGCGGUAAUACGGAGGAUUCAAGCGUUAUCCGGAUUGAUUGGGGUGAAAGGGUGCGUAGGCGGUCGGAUAAGUUAGAGGUGAAAUCCCGAGGCUCAACUUCGGAAUUGCCUCUGAUACUGUUCGGCUAGAGAGUAGUUGCGGUAGGCGGAAUGUAUGGUGUAGCGGUGAAAUGCUUAGAGAUCAUACAGAACACCGAUUGCGAAGGCAGCUUACCAAGCUACUUCUGACGUUGAGGCACGAAAGCGUGGGGAGCAAACAGGAUUAGAUACCCGGGUAGUC